GCCGCGAUCGCAUAACCUGGUAUUGCGCAAGAUUGCUAAUCUUGUUUCCGUAUGGAUAUCUGGGUUCAAAUCCCAGUCGCGGCG
rnacentral:tRNA from 1 species